rnacentral:pre_miRNA from 1 species
UGAUGAUGAUGAUGAUCAUGAUGAUGAUCAUGAUCAUGAUUAUGAUCAUGACCAUGAUCAUGAUGAUCAUGAUCAUGAUCAUCAUGAUCAUGAUCAUGAUCA